UCUUACUCCCCCGGUUUUUGCAUCUCUGACACAUGGCUGGCGGCACUCAUUUCUCGGGGUGACUGUGGCGGACAGGACGGGGCUUACAUGCAGGGCCCUCUGUCCACACAUUCACUCCACAGGCCUUCCUGCUGCUCAUUGCUUUACAAAUCUGCCAACAGCCUGUACGUGCGACUCUCCGAAAGGGGUGCUGAUGGCAUUUUCUAAGAGCAUCGUUUUAAAGUGGGACCACUGCUAGGUAGAAAGUUUGGCUGGAAGAUUUCCUAGUGGAGCUCCGGCAGGUAUUGAUGAAGCUUGUCAUCUUUGGAACUCUUAACUCUGCAGCGGCCCAGAUGUUUGAAAUUCCUGGCCGAGGGCAGAGCCUCCCAUUGUACGGACCUGUCCCAAGGUGUGUCAAAAUAGCUGUUUUCUCAGGGAAAACGAUCGUGCACCUCCGAGCACUUGUGUGGUUAUUGUCUGGUGUUUAGUCUGCUGCCUGUGGGCACGUGACCAGCUGGAGAAAACAGGCCUCCCUGUAACAAGGAGCAUCCCUGCAGUGGUGUCACACGUGUCCGUGGAGGGUGGAGAGGACACGGGUUCUGACCCGCAGCCGGACCUGACACCCACGCACGGUCUCUAGAAGCCCGUCUCGAUAGAGCCGAGAGAAGGAAGCAGAUAUUUUUAAACAGCAGCCAAAGAAGAGGGUGUAGAAGUAGCAGAAGACUGUCUUCCUUCUUAAAUGAGCCCACAGCUUUCUAGAUGGCCCCGUUUACUUGAUAACAUUUAAAAAAAAACCACAGAGAGGAGAGCUCCCUGAACUCUGCAUUAGACGUCCCUUCCCUUUGAUGCCUGUGGGCUGACGGUCCCCAGCAAAGUGGGACGGAGGCCGUGCAGAUGGCUACAGGACACACAGAAGAGCAGCUACUCAUUGAAAGCUCAGAAAGGAGCUCGAAGGUCUGUGACGAAGGAUGCUCGGUGGGGAGGCCCGUGUGCUGUCUGUGGGUGAGACGUCUGAAUGGCAGAAGUUGGCGGUGGCCCUUGUCUGCACGGGAAGCCUCUCCCCACACACUCAGGCCACUGAAUUUCAGGAGCCGAGGCGGGCUUGUAGCCGAUGAAGAAUCUCUUCUGUCAGCAUCACGCGGAGCCGCUGGCGCCUGAGCUCUGCCGGCUGGUCCAUCUCCCGGCGUCCUGACGCCCAUUCGCGGCGCGGGUCUGGCCUUCGUGGCUCCGUCUUGUGUCCGCAGGUACCAGGCGGUGGGCAGCCCCCGCCCCCGUCCCCUGGGCCCAGGGUCCCGCUGCUCACGCA